rnacentral:rRNA from 1 species
UCCUGGAUUCAGCGGCGGACGGGUGAGUAAUGCCUAGGAAUCUGCCUGGUAGUGGGGGAUAACGUCCGGAAACGGGCGCUAAUACCGCAUACGUCCUGAGGGGGAAAGUGGGGGAUCUUCGGACCUCACGCUAUCAGAUGAGCCUAGGUCGGAUUACCUAGUUGGUGGGGUAAAGGCCUACCAAGGCGACAAUCCGUAACUGGUCUGAGAGGAUGAUCAGUCACACUGGAACUGAGACACGGUCCAGACUCCUACGGGAGGCAGCAGUGGGGAAUAUUGGACAUUGGGCGAAGGCCUGAUCCAGCCUUGCCGCGUGUGUGAAGAAGGUCUUCGGAUUGUAAAGCACUUUAAGUUGGGAGGAAGGGCAGUAAGUUAAUACCUUGCUGUUUUGACGUUACCAACACAAUAAGCACCGGCUCACUUCGUGCCAUCAGCCGCGGUAAUACGAAGGGUGCAAGCGUUAAUCGGAAUUACUGGGCGUAAAGCGCGCGUAGGUGGUUCAGCAAGUUGGAUGUGAAAUCCCCGGGUCUCAACCUGGGAACUGCAUCAAAAACUACUGAGCUAGGAUACGGUAGAGCGUGGUGGAAUUUUCCUGUGUAGCAGUGAAAUGCGAUAGAUAUAGAAAGGGAACACCAGUGGCCGAAGGCGACCACCUGGCACUGAUACUGACACUGAUGUGCGAAAGCGUGGGGUAGCAUACCCGGAGUUAGAUACCCCUGGUAGUCCACGCCGUAAACGAUGUCGACUUAGCCGUUGG